GAUAGCAAUUGACACGUGAACAACUUUGCAAGUGGUCCAACACACUAUAUAUUGCAACAUAUACACGCACUACUAUCAUAGACGUGAUAUCUCGACAUAAGUGUUAUAAAUAGUCAAGGAGAGCGGUAAAAAGAAAAGAUUUGAGUGCAUUAAUCAGCUCGAACGAAGUAACGCGGCAGUUGAUACGAUGUUUGUUGCGACAUCCAUGAUCGAUUAAACGAUCAUGUACUUUAUUCAUAUAUUACAUAUAUAAUGUCUUUGAAAGAUGACGGAAGAUAACUGGGACACCCUGUAUAUAGCUUGAUAGCAGGCAAACAGGAGGGUGGGGUUCUUAUCGCAAUAUUUACGCAUCUGAAAUUCGGUCGCGAGUGGGGAUGGAUGGAACAGGCGAAGAGAAUGGCUGUCGCGACUAAUAUCACGCACCGGUCAGCUGUACUUUGUGCCUCGAACCC